rnacentral:rRNA from 1 species
AUGUCGUGGAAUGUACGCGGCCUUAACCAGCUGGCUAAACGCGCGGCAAUCUGCGAAGUAGUUACGACAAACAAAGCUGCAAUCACGUGCCUGCAGGAAACUAAGAUCGAUAUCUGGACGCCCAGCCUCGUCAGGGAGAUCGGCGGUGCUACCCUGACUGAAUGUUUAGUCCUCCCUGCGAUCGGCUCUCGCGGUGGAGCUGCGAUCUUCUAG